rnacentral:rRNA from 1 species
CUAGCAUAUCAAUAAGCGGAGGAAAAGAAACUAACAAGGAUUCCCCUAGUAACUGCGAGUGAAGCGGGAAAAGCUCAAAUUUAAAAUCUGGCGGUCUUUGGCCCGUCCGAGUUGUAGUCUGGAGAAGUGCUUUCCGCGCUGGACCGUGUAUAAGUCUCUUGGAACAGAGCGUCAUAGAGGGUGAGAAUCCCGUCUUUGACACGGACUACCAGUGCUUUGUGAUGCGCUCUCAAAGAGUCGAGUUGUUUGGGAAUGCAGCUCAAAAUGGGUGGUAAAUUCCAUCUAAAGCUAAAUAUUGGCGAGAGACCGAUAGCGAACAAGUACCGUGAGGGAAAGAUGAAAAGCACUUUGGAAAGAGAGUUAAACAGUACGUGAAAUUGCUGAAAGGGAAACGCUUGAAGUCAGUCGCGUCUGCCGGAACUCAGCCUUGCUUUUGCUUGGUGCACUUUCCGGUUGACGGGCCAGCAUCGAUUUUGACCGACGGAAAAGGGCUGGGGAAAUGUGGCACCCUCGGGUGUGUUAUAGUCUCUAGUCGCAUACGCCGGUUGGGAUCGAGGAUCGCAGCGCGCCGCAAGGCAGGGGUUCGCCCACUUUCGCGCUUAGGAUGCUGGCAUAAUGGCUUUAAACGACCCGUCUUGAAACACGGACCAAGGAGUCUAACAUGCCUGCGAGUGUUUGGGUGGAAAACCCGAGCGCGUAAUGAAAGUGAAAGUUGAGACCUCUGUCGUGGAGGGCAUCGACGCCCGGACCUGACGUUCUCUGACGGAUCCGCGGUAGAGCAUGUAUGUUGGGACCCGAAAGAUGGUGAACUAUGCCUGAAUAGGGUGAAGCCAGAGGAAACUCUGGUGGAGGCUCGUAGCGAUUCUGACGUGCAAAUCGAUCGUCAAAUUUGGGUAUAGGGGCGAAAGACUAAUCGAACCAUCUAGUAGCUGGUUCCUGCCGAAUU